GCAUUAUGUUUCGUAGAGUCAGCUGGACUGUGCUGAUCUGUGGGUUUUUGAUUGACAGGCAGAUAUGAACUCUGAUUUUAUGCAUGGGAGCUGCCACUCCAAGUAGCCUCCAUAGACCAGUGGCAGAGACCUUA
rnacentral:snoRNA from 1 species